UACGGAGGGGACUAGCGUUGUUCGGAAUUACUGGGCGUAAAGCGCACGUAGGCGGAUUUGUAAGUCAGGGGGUGAAAUCCCGAGGCUCAACCUCGGAACUGCCUUUUGAUACUGCAAAUCUCGAGUCCGGAAGAGGUGAGUGGAAUUCCUAGUGUAGAGGUGAAAAUUUCGUAGAUAUUAGGAAGAACACCAGUGGCGAAGGCGGCUCACUGGUCCGGUACUGGACGCUGAGGUGC
rnacentral:rRNA from 1 species